rnacentral:RNase_P_RNA from 1 species
AAAUCAAGCUGGGUAAUCGCCCUUUUACAAGGGAGGAAAGUCCGGGCUCCGAUGAACAUGACGCUGGGUAACUCCCAGGCACCGGUUAAACGGUGACGGAAAGUGGCACAGAAACUAAACCGCCUACUAAUAGUGGGUAAGGGUGAAAACGUACGGUAAGAGCGUACGGCCUUAGAAGGUGACUUCUAGGUGGCUAAACCCCGUCUGGAGCAAGGCCAAAUAGGGAACUGAUGAAUGUUCGUAUCGUAUGUAGGUUCCGGGUAGGCUGCUUGACCCCAAUGGCAACAUUCCUAAUGUAGGGUACUAAUGGUACGGGGCUAGAUAGAUGAUUACCGCCUCUGAAGAGGUACAGAACCCGGCUUAUAGGCUUGAUUAUCGC